AGUCGAGCGGACGAAAGGAAGCUUGCUCCCGGUAUGUUAGCGGCGGACGGGUGAGUAGCACGUGGGUAACCUGGCUGUAGGACUGGGAUAACUCCGGGAAACCGGAGCUAAUACCGGAUAGUUCCUUGAACCGCAGGGUUCUCGGAUGAACUACGGUUUCCGCUGUCACUUACGUAUGGACCCCCGGCGCAUUAGCUAAUUGGUGGGGUAAUGGCUCACCCAGGCGACGAUGCAUAGCCGACCUGAGAGGGUGAUCGGCCACACUGGGACUGAGACACGGCCCAAACUCCUACGGGAGGCAGCAGUAGGGAAUCUUCCGCAAUGGACCAAAGUCUGACCGAGCAACACCACGGGAGUGAUAAAGGUUUUCGGAUCGUAAAGCUCUGUUGUUAGGGAAGAACAAGUGCUAGAGUAACUGCUCGCACCUUGACGGUACCUAACCAUAAAGCCACGGCUAACUACGUGCCAACACCCGCGGUAAUACCUAUGUGGCAAGCUUUGGCCGGAAUUAUUGGGCGUAAAGGGCUCGCAAGCGGUUUCUUAAAUCUGAUGUGAAAGCCCCCGGCUCAACCGGGGAGGGUCAUUGGAAACUGGGAAACUAGAGUGCAGAAAAUGACAGUGGAAUUCCACGUGGAGCGGUGAUAUGCGUAAACAUGUGUAGGAACACCAGUGGCGAAGGCUACUCUCUGGUCUGUAACUG
rnacentral:rRNA from 1 species